CCCUCCCGGAGGCCCCACAGUGGGGAAUAUUGCCCAAUGGGCGAAGGCCUGAUGCAGCAACGCCGCGUGAGGGAUGCCGCCCUUCGGGUUGUAACCCUCUUUCAGUAGGGAAGAAGCGAAAGUGACGGUACCUGCAGAAGAAGCGCCGGCUAACUACGUGCCAGCAGCCGCGGUAAUACGUAGGGCGCAAGCGUUAUCCGGAAUUAUUGGGCGUAAAGAGCUCGUAGGCGGUUUGUCGCGUCUGCCGUGAAAGUCCGGGGCUCAACUCCGGAUCUGCGGUGGGUACGGGCAGACUAGAGUGAUGUAGGGGAGACUGGAAUUCCUGGUGUAGCGGUGAAAUGCGCAGAUAUCAGGAGGAACACCGAUGGCGAAGGCAGGUCUCUGGGCAUUAACUGACGCUGAGGAGCGAAAGCAUGGGGAGCGAACAGGAUUAGAUACCCUGGUAGUCCAUGCCGUAAACGUUGGGCACUAGGUGUGGGGGACAUUCCACGGU
rnacentral:rRNA from 1 species